GUAGAUAACAAAUCAGGUAGGGCUACCCGCUGAACUUAAGCAUAUCAAUAAGCGGAGGAAAAGAAACUAACAAGGAUUCCCUUAGUAACGGCGAGCGAACCGGGAAGAGCUCAAAUUUGAAAUCUGGCGUCCUCAGGGCGUCCGAGUUGUAAUCUAUAGAGGCGUUUUCCGUGCCGGACCGUGUCCAAGUCCCUUGGAACAGGGUAUCAAAGAGGGUGACAAUCCCGUACUUGACACGACUACCGGUGCUCUGUGAUACGUCUUCUACGAGUCGAGUUGUUUGGGAAUGCAGCUCAAAACGGGUGGUAAACUCCAUCUAAAGCUAAAUAUUGGUGGGAGACCGAUAGCGAACAAGUACCG
rnacentral:rRNA from 1 species